GGCGUGGGGGAGCAGGGUUGGCGGUUGCAACUCGCGCUUGCUUCCCGGCCGUGGUGCCCUCGCCGUCGUGCCCAAACUUGGGAUUCCCGCCCAAACUAACGGUCCUCCGCCCGCCGUCUCCUCCCGGCGCCGUUUCACAGAGGCGGAUCCCCGCAGGGCGGUCGGGGGCCGCGUGGAGUCGUUGCGGAUCCACCCUGCUGCGUAUGAAUGACUGCUAGGGCGUUUUCCAAAGAUCUCCCUGAUCUUUGCCACAGCCUUCUGAGGUCUGCACCAGCCAUCUGACUACACCACUUCUUCAAGUCAUGAUUUGUGUGAGAGCUCUCAAGGCUGACUCCUUUCUCACAGAAGAAGCUGCUUUCAUUGGCUAAAUAGAACAAAAGAGCAUCCAACUGGCUAAAGUACGCAUCAUGUUUUCUCAGCAUCUGCUCCUACUGCUUUCCUCUGGUUCAGGCGCUGUUCCCACAAGUAAUGUGCUUACCCUUUCCUGUCCGGGUCUGAAACUCUUUAAAUAAUAACAAUAAGGAAGGAGCAGA
rnacentral:lncRNA from 1 species